CUAUAAAAUUGAUAUUACAAUGUGGUUUCUCUUGAAUUUCUUAUUCGAGUUCUUCAUUACAAUCAACUAACUUCCUAGAUUAGAACUAAAGCAUUAUCCACUAAAUAAGUUGAUUCUUAUACAAGGACAUAUGAAUUGUUUGCAUUACACGAAGCUUCGAAAAGCGAGAUGUCAGCAAAAAUUUGUGAAACUGUCGAUUUGCUCACACAGAAAUUUCCAGUAUUCGAACUUCGCGAUGACGACUUUCCGGUUACGAACGAACCCUUCCCCAAGGUUCACAAGCAUAUACUUUCAUGAUCUAUUUGAUAGAUUCUGGAGGUUUAGAACAUACACUCGCGUGCAAUAUUCUAAUACUUACGGCAACAUUAAACAUCAUUUCAGUCAAUACAAUUUUCGUCUCACUUCUUAUACUUAUUUAGAGAAAAGAGAUAUAUAUCACCAAAUUAGGAAGAAAAGGGAGGGAUUUUGUUUUAUUUUAUGCAUUGCAAAUCAACCAUCGUAUUUUAUCAGUAUUUAAAGCAUUUGUUAAAGUGAUGUGUUGGAACAUUUGGAUGCCCCUAUCUUGUAAGUUGUAACAUGUAUAGGGCUUGAAGUAUGGAAAUUGAGCACUUGGUUUGUAAUUGAAAAUAAUUUAUAUUA